rnacentral:rRNA from 1 species
GACGAACGCUGGCGGCGUGCUUAACACAUGCAAGUCGAACGGAAAGGCCCUGCUUUUGUGGGGUGCUCGAGUGGCGAACGGGUGAGUAACCCGUGAGUAACCUGCCCUUGACUUUGGGAUAACUUCAGGAAACUGGGGCUAAUACCGGAUAGGAACUCCUGCUGCAUGGUGGGGGUCGGAAAGUUUCGGCGGUUGGGGAUGGACUGGCGGCUUAUCAGCUUGUUGGUGGGGUAGUGGCUUACCAAGGCUUUGACGGGUAGCCGGCCUGAGAGGGUGACCGGCCACAUUGGGACUGAGAUACGGCCCAGACUCCUACGGGAGGCAGGAGUGGAGAAUAUUGCAUAAGGGGCGGAAGCCUGAUGCAGCAACGCCGCGUGCGGGGUGACGGCCUUCGGGUUGUAAACCGCUUUGGCCUGUGACGAAGCGUGAGUGACGGUAAUGGGUAAAGAAGCACCGGCUAACUACGUG